GGCAGAAUAGCUCAGUUGGUAAGAGCACUACUGGCACAAUCAGUGAGAGGUCCCAGGUUCGAAUCCUGGUUCAGCCA